rnacentral:lncRNA from 1 species
CUAACUUUCAUAUCUUGCUCUCCAUGUAAGCAUAUAAACCACUAACUUUACAAAGGAAAGUGCCAUUGAUGCUGCUCAGAUUUCUUAAUUCAUUAACUACUGAUGUAGUCUUUGUAGUUGAAAUUUAAGUGUCAAUAUGUAACAUGCUUAUCAAUCUCUGUAGUUCUUGAAGAGUACUUAAAUUAUAGCUCAUAAGAAGAGUAAAGUUUAUUGUGUAAGGCCAUAUGGGACUUAAUCCAGAAACUUUAACUUUAUUUGGGUUUAGGGAAAAGUAGAUAGAUACUCAAGGAAACAGAAGCUAUAAGAAGAAAGAUUAACACAGUGCUUGGUUAGUUUAAUGAGAAAAGUUAAUGGAAGUUUUGCUAGAUUUUAUUUCUGCUUUGGUUCAAUUUGAGUAAAAUAUGUGGUGGUGGUGGUGCUCCUUGACUUUAGCAAGGGCCGUGAUAAAAUGAUAUACAAGCUAUGAAGAAGGAAAAGAAAAAGGGCAAGUGGAUAAAAGCUUAAAAAGCAGGGAAUAGAAGGAACUGUUUUCCUUCUUUUUUUUAAUUAAUAUAAGUGCAUCUUUUUCUCUGUAAAAUUAAUAGAAAGAUUUAAAUUAGAUACAAUCAUAAUUAUAAGCAACUUCCAAGUUAAAUUAAGAACUGUCAGAGUACAUUUCCCUAAAUUAAAAGAGGCUUGCAUGACCUGUUUUGUGCACUUCUAGUGGUCUUAGCUAGGUUUGUCUUUGGUAUUAGGGGUUUUAAUAAGAUAUAAUAAUGAUAAUUGCAGCCAGCGUAUUGUAAUACUUCUUUGAACAGAAUGAUAAAAGAGUCUUCAAUAGUAGGGAAAAAAGGGUUCCUUAUUCUUUUCUCUUUUUAAUUCUUCUUCCUUUUUUCAGGGUUCAUCCUGCCUUAACAACAGUCCCACUGGCAUUACUCUUACAAUUCACUCAUUCCAAGAGGUAAAGUUCCCCUUCCUCCCCCACCCCUCCAAAUUUUAAUUUUUUUAUAUUUAAAUUGUCUGAUUUUUAAAAGGAUACAAAUCUUUACGUUAGUUGAAAAUAUUAUUUGUAGAGAUAGUUUAUAACUACAGAAUAAACAAGCUUAAUCACCUCAAGGCAAUGUGCAGUAAAUCAGAGUAUUUAUAUGGUGGUUUUGGCUACUGUGUCAAUGCUAAAACUUGAAAUAUCAUGUAAUAUGGUUCAAUAUAUUGUUGUUGUUAUGACAAAUUUUGCUAUGACCCUGUUUACUACACUCCGUUCCAAAAUAAGAGAAAUAAUUUGACUUUUUAGGUCAAACGACGGCAUAUUAAACUUCAAAUUGAUGUGAACGUAUUUAAUUUUAGUUGAUACAAUUAUCAUAAUUGUAUAGUAUAUAACAAAAACUUGAUUUCUUUCUAAACUUUUAUAAGUUAUUCCAAUUUUUCUUGACAUUUAAUAUGUCGUCGUUUGACCUCAAAAAUCAAAUUAUAUCUCUAAUUUUGGAACGGAGAGAGUAACUACUAUUUAAAGCCGUUUGGCCUUCUAAUAGUUAUUCUCAAGGCUAUUCUUUAUUUUUAAGGAAAACUAAAUCCUUGAUAAAUAUAAUUUUAAAUAUUAGAAUUGUACCUUUAUGUUUGCUAGAAUCUUAUGUGAUGAUGAUUUAUGCCCACAAGAUGAUACAAACUGCUAGCCAACAUGUUUUCCCUCAGUAAAUUUGAAUUCUCAUUAUAAAGAAAGAAAGAAGAUGAAUUGAGGAUUAUUUUGUUCUUUUCUUGAGUAAUGCAUAUAAAAAAGAUGAGUGAAUCUUAGGAUAAAAAGAAGCACUAGGGAACAUUGUGAUAAAGAGAUAUUUAAAAGUGGAAAAUGGCAUCACAUCUGACCCACUAAAGACUAAGAACAUUAGAUUAGAUAAUUUACAUAUGUGGUGGUGAUGUUAGUACUGUGUCCAGCAUUUUUAGAGCUAUUAGAAAAAACAACCAAAAGCCAAUUAAGCCGCCCCCCAAGGUAAACGAUUUGGAAUUGGCUGGUGGCUCCUGACUCUAGGGGGUGGCAUUUUCCGGGUUGAAAGCUUAAACCAAAAAAAUGGGCAAAGUGAUGUGGAUGCCACCAUUUUAUGGCCACUCCACUUAAGCUUCCAUCUCCUUCCUUCCAUUUAUCAUCAACAUAAUAUAUAUAUAUAUAUAGGGGAAAGAGAGUAUGUGUCUUAAACACACUUAAGCUUGUGUGUCUUGUACAUAAUACGACGUAGUUUUGAUUGACAAAUUAGUGAAAUGUCAAAACAACCAUUUUAUUUAAUAAAAAUGGUGAAAUGUUUUAAUCUCUUAAAAUAAUAUGACACAUGUAAGCUCUUUUUGUGUGUGUGUGUGUGUGUAUGUAUGUAUGUAUGUAAAGAGAAACUGUUAUGAAGACAAUGGUGGGCAUACUUUUCAUAUUAGACUGAUUUGUUAUUAGGAAGGAAAAAGAAGGGAAUUGCAAGAGAAGGUCAAGGAGAAGGUGUUUCUUCCCUUUAUGGGGAGGUAAAUGAAGAUUCAAACACUUUGUUUAGACUGAAGGAAUAGAGUGGAAAGGAAAAGAACAUGGGAAUAGUUCUUUCACAUUUUGACUUUCCCAGUUUGGUUUACUAGCAAAAAUGAUAGGGAGAGGAGGGAAAGCUUUAUAAUAAGUACAUUCUCUAGGCCUAGGGACUAGGGUAUAUGAAGUUACUUAUUGUGGAGUAAUCAAAUUCCUAUUCCCUUGCUACACCUUUUCCAAAUAGGAGACUUUUCUUUCAUUUCUUUUGUAUAUAAACCAUUCCAAACAUGAAGUAGGGAUAUCAGUAUCCUGUAUUUCUCUAUCCUUUCAUUUUCUUCCUUUUCCUCCUAAUAAUCCAAGAUUCCGAAGAGUUAUAAAGUUUGAAGUAGGAAGUGACAUUAUUCCUUGUAAUCUAUAAGGCAAUAAUUUUGAUGUGGUGAAAAAGAAGAAUAACUUUUAUCUUUACCUUUAUACACUACACACAACUCCCUAGUCCCUAGCUUGAUUGCUAUUUAUAUACAAGGGUUAGUGGUCAAAUCAUGAAAUAUCCAUUUUUUUUUACUUCCUUGCUUGAUCAAACCUUAUAAAGGGAGGGAAAACACACAUUCCAUUGCUUUGGUUGGCAAAGAAAUGUCUUUAGGGAAAGUAGUACCAUUUCCCUCGUUGUGUUUAGAUUAAUAGAAGAAAAAAACAUCUCCACAAUAGAAAAUAAAGCAUUUUCCCUUGUUAUCUUUGGCUUGGAGGAAUCCAUCACUUUUACCUUACUUCACAUUCCUCCCAAUUCUCCAUGUGUCAUACCAAAAGUAGACAAGACAAUACUACAAUAAAACUAAGUUAUGGCAGUAGAAAAUCAUAUGUUAUACUUGUCCUGUAAGAGAAUUUAGUGAGAAUAUGAUAACUUGUCCUGACCAUAUGCUUUUGUAUUGUUCUCCUUAUAAUACAUAUUCCCCUUGCAACCCCAUGUCCCCUUCCGGCCUCAGNNNNNNNNNNNNNNNNNNNNNNNNNNNNNNNNNNNNNNNNNNNNNNNNNNNNNNNNNNNNNNNNNNNNNNNNNNNNNNNNNNNNNNNNNNNNNNNNNNNNGAACUUAAGUUAACUUUGUCUAUUUCUUGUAUUUUUUUGCAUCUGAAAUUAAAGGGGAAGAACUAAUUUGGAAUAUUAGGAAGAAAAAAUGAAUGGUCCAAAUCAGUUGAGCCCACAGCAAAUGGCCGAAUAUGGUAUAUUGUACACAACUUGCACAUCUACAUCUACAUCUACAUCAUCCUCUUAAGUCUAAAAACAAAGCAAUGUAAUGUGUGAAAAAAGAUUUGAUAAGUUGUGCCGUGUGUGACACAAGAUGAUAAGACCACUACAUUCCUGAUUUCUUACUUUCUUUUGUUUACUUCUCAGUGGGGGGCUGUGGCUGUUAGCUAGCAAGGAUUGACAUACAAAGGACUCGGUUGAUAGACCAAAUUAUAUGCACUCACCAAGUGGUGGUAAUUAAGGAUGGCCAUAACUUUGUCUUACCUCAAUUUGGGUGUUUAAGGGGUUAAAUACAUUUUUUCUCACUCUAUUCUAUCUUGGUUUACACAUGCUUCACUGUAUUAUUUUAUAAAUAUUUUAGUAUAAAUGUAAUGUUUAAG